GUGAAUCAUCGAAUUUUUGAACGCAAAUUGCACUCUCUUCGGAGAGUAUGCCUGUUUGAGUGUCAGCCUAAAUAAAAUCGACAUAGUCGCUGUUUCGCGGUGACAUUCGUCGGAACUUGGGCCAUCUUAAACCUUUGGGUUUUAAGUGGCUUACACUUUUCUUUAUAGUUCCACGAACGUCUCCAAGAUUUACUUCUUAUACGUUUCAGGAA
rnacentral:misc_RNA from 1 species